UGUAGCCGGAGCGAAAGCGAGUCUGAAUAGGGCGCAUAGUCAGUGGAGGUAGACGCGAAACCCUGUGAUCUACCCAUGACCAGGUUGAAGUUGCAGUAACAUGCAAUGGAGGACCGAACCAGUAUACGUUGAAAAGUAUUUGGAUGAGUUGUGGGUAGGGGUGAAAGGCCAAUCAAACUGGGAGAUAGCUCGUACUCCCCGAAAUGCUUUUAGGAGCAGCGUGGAGGUUAAGUCUGGCAGAGGUAGAGCUACCGAUAGGACUAGGGGGAGUCAAAUCCUACCAAAUCCUGACGAACUCCGAAUGCUGUCAGAUAUACUCUGCAGUGAGGGUUUGGGUGCUAAGGUCCAAAUCCGAGAGGGAAAGAACCCAGAACUACAGCUAAGGUCCCAAAAUCUGUGUUAAGUUGAACUAAGGCGGUCCAGUUGCAGAGACAGCCAGGAUGUUGGCUUGGAAGCAGCCAUUCAUUUAAAGAGUGCGUAACAGCUCACUGGUCGAGCGAUAGGGCAUCGAUAAUAAUCGGGCAUCAAACACAGUACCGAAGCUUAGUCAGUAUUUAUACUGGGUAGGGGAGCAUUCUAUAGGCGGUGAAGCAGUCCUGUCAGGGAUUGUGGAGCGUAUAGAAAAGCAAAUGUAGGCAUAAGUAACGAUAAUGCAGGUGAGAAACCUGCACACCGAUAGACUAAGGUUUCCUGAUCAACGCUAAUCGGAUCAGGGUUAGUCGGGACCUAAGGCGAACCCGAAGGGGGUAGUCGAUGGACAAUUGGUUAAUAUUCCAAUACUACCAAUAUCAACGAUGGGGUGACGGAGUAGUGAAAGUCCUGCGUACUGACGGAAUAGUACGUUAAAGGGUGUAGUUAUAAGUUGAGUAGGCAAAUCCGCUCGACUUGAUGAACCUGAUAGUACCACAAUCCUUCGGGAGCGUGGAUAUGGACCUAAUCAGACUUCCAAGAAAAACCUCUAAGUAUAUGUUAUUGGUACCCGUACCGUAAACCGACACAGGUAGUCAAGGAGAGAAUCCUGAGGUGCUCGAGUGAUUCAUGGCUAAGGAACUAGGCAAAAUGACCCUGUAACUUCGGGAGAAGGGGUCCCUACGUGAGUAGGGCGCAGCGAAACGAUCCAGGCGACUGUUUAUCAAAAACACAUGGCUUUGCGAACUUGAAAGAGGAAGUAUAAGGCCUGACACCUGCCCGGUGCUGGAAGGUUAAGGGGAACUGUUAGCUUUGGCGACGCGGUGAACUUAAGCCCCAGUAAACGGCGGUGGUAACUAUAACCAUCCUAAGGUAGCGAAAUUCCUUGUCGGGUAAGUUCCG
rnacentral:rRNA from 1 species